rnacentral:snRNA from 1 species
AUACUUACCUGGGAGGGGAGAUACCAUGAUAACAAAGGUGGUUUUCUCAGGGUGAGGCUUAUUCAUUGCACUCCAGAUGUGCUGCCUCCUGCAAUUUUCCCAAAUGUGGGAAACGCGACUGCAUAAUUUGUGAUAGUAGGGGACUGCAUUUGCACUCUCCCC